rnacentral:rRNA from 1 species
CGGACGUGUCCGCUCGUGGGGACGAACCAGCCGAAAGGUUGGCUAAUACCGCAUGAGUUCUACGGAAGAAAGAGGGGGACCCGCAAGGGCCUCUCGCGAGCGGAGCGGCCGAUGACUGAUUAGCCGGUUGGUGAGGUAACGGCUCACCAAAGCAACGAUCAGUAGCUGGUCUGAGAGGACGACCAGCCACACUGGGACUGAGACACGGCCCAGACUCCUACGGGAGGCAGCAG